rnacentral:rRNA from 1 species
UGGGGAAUAUUGGGCAAUGGGCGCAAGCCUGACCCAGCAACGCCGCGUGAAGGAAGAAGGCUUUCGGGUUGUAAACUUCUUUUCUCAGGGACGAAGCAAGUGACGGUACCUGAGGAAUAAGCCACGGCUAACUACGUGCC